GCCUGGGUGGCUCAGUCGGUUGAGCAUCCGGCUUCGGCUCAGGUCAUGACCUCACGGCUCAUGGGUUCAAACCCCAUGUUGGGCU
rnacentral:tRNA from 1 species